rnacentral:lncRNA from 1 species
GCAUAAAAAAUCCACUUAUUUUGGACUUUUACAAAAUCGGGCCAUCUUUUUCGUUUUUGCAGAUUCGGUCCGCUUUUUCAGCAAACUGACCAAAAUACCAUUUUUACUUUUUUUCUUUCCUCUUUCUCUCUUCUAUUCAUUUCUCUCGUUUUUUUUUUUUCUCGCCGGCAGAGCGGAGGCGGAAACGGUCCGUCUCGCCUCUCACCCUCAUUCUCUCACCCUCGCCCUCGCCCUUGCCCUCGUCGACGCACCCCUCAUCUUCCUCGCCUCCAACCCCGCCAAGGCCGCGCCGCGACUUUUUUUUUUUUGCUUUUUUCUUUUCUUUUCUUCUCUGACUCUUCUCCACCGUCUUCGACGACGACGCCUCUCUCGUCCGUCCCUGCCCUUCUCAUCUCUCCCUCUCCCUCAUUCUCUGUCGCCUCCGACGACAAUGCAUCUUCGCCGGCGCCGACGUCGACACCGUGGAGGUCACUGCGGCGCUACAGGCUCGGAGCGGGGAUCCUUAGCGGUGUCGUCGCCGGCACCGUGGCUGUUUGUAGAGAGGGUGACAAAAAAAAAUUAUAGAAAAAAUAGAAAAAAAAUAAAGAUAAAACAUUAUAUAAAAAGAAGGAUGAACAUAAAAUCGUAUCGUUAACUGCAAAAAAAUUUAUAAGUUGCACUAUUUAAGAUGUAAACUGCAGCUUUAAGAUAAAAAUUACACUCUUUAAAUAAAAAUUACACUCUUUGAGAGAUAUUUACACUCUUUGAGAGAUAUUUACAUUGUUUCUCUUCUUAUUACACUCUUUCAAAUGUAAACUGCAUCCAUUAAGAUAAAAGUUACACUCUUUAAACAAAAGUUGCACUGUUUCUCCUCUUGUUGCACCAUUUCUCCUCCUGUUACACUAUUUUUU